GUCCACGCCGUAAACGAUGGAAGCUAGCCGUCGGACAGCUUGCUGUUCGGUGGCGCAGCUAACGCUUUAAGCUUCCCGCCUGGGGAGUACGGUCGCAAGAUUAAAAACUCAAAGGAAUUGACGGGGGCCCGCACAAGCGGUGGAGCAUGUGGUUUUAAUUCGAAGCAACGCGAAGAACCUUACCAGCCCUUGACAUGGCAGGACGGUGCCCAGAGAUGGGUAUCUUCCCUUCGGGGACCUGCACACAGGUGCUGCAUGGCUGUCGU
rnacentral:rRNA from 1 species